CCUGCUCACCUAAUGUCAAUAUGUCCCAUAGAAAUGUCAUUUAUUCCUUCCUGCAAAACCUUUCUUUCCAUGUGAACUACAGUUUUUCUCUAAUCUCCUGGGUAGCUACCUGUCACUUCUCUUUUUUCAUAUUGAAUUUUACAAUAGUUUUAUUCUAAUUCAGUGAAAAAUCAUGCCGGUUGUUUGAUAAGAAUACCAUUGAAUCUGUAGAUUGCUUUGGGCAGUAUAGACUUAGAAUGUGGUUAGUUUUAGAGAAUGUUUUAUGAACAGAUAAAAAAUGCAUUUUCUCUGAUUUUUGGGUGAAGUAUUCUCUAGAUAUCUAUUAGAUCCACUUGGUAAAGAGUCUAGCUCAAGUCGAAUUUUUUUUUUUUUUUUUUUUAGCUUUUGGCCUUGAUGAUGUGCCUGUCUAGUGUUGUCAGUCUGGUGUCGAAGCUUAUUACUCAUUGUAUUACUUUCUAUCUCUUUGCUUAGGUCUGGUAGUAUUUAUUUUAUAAAUAUGAUUGCUUCAGUAUUGAGUGUGUAUAUAUUUAGAUUAGUUAAAUCUUAUUGAAUUAAAUGCUUUAUCAUUAUGUAAUGCACUUACUUGGUUUUUUUUAAACUGUUGUUUGUUUAAGGUCUGUUUUAUUUGAUACAAAGAGAGGAAUUUCAGCUUAUUUUUGCUUUCCGUUUGAAAGAUAGAUCUUUCUUCAUCCUUUUACUUUCAGUCUAUGGAUGUCCUUACAUAUGAGAUGGAUUCCUUAAGGGCAGCAGAAGGUUGCCUUUUUUUUUUUUUAAUCCACUGUGCUACUCUGUCUUUUAUAUGAAGCAUUUAGGCAAUUUACAUUCAAAGUUAAUAUGAUAUGUGAGAUUUUGUACCUCUCAUACUGUUGUUAGCUAGUUGCUUUAUAGUUGCAAUUGUGUAGUUACUUAAUAGGAUCUAUAGGCUUUGUAAUUAUGUGUGCUUUUAUGGUAGCAAGUAUUGGUCUGUUUUUUCCUGUUUUGAACUCCUUUUAGCAUUUUUUCUAAAACUGAUCUGGUGGUGACAUAUUUCCUUAGUGUUUACUGGUCUGGGAAAUAUUUUAUUUCUACUUUAUUCACAAAUCUUCAUUUGGGAAUUUAUGAAGUUCUUGGCUGUCAUUAUUAUUAUUUUUCUUUUGUAAGUCUAAC
rnacentral:lncRNA from 1 species